rnacentral:tRNA from 1 species
CCGGGGUGGAGGCCGAGUUCGGCGGCGGCGACCGUCGUCAGGUCGGCGGCGAGCGGGAGUUCGCCGGCGAGGUCGGCGCGGAUCCGGUCGCCGUGGG